AGUGUUCAGGAAAUGUGUCGAGACACUAGAGCACACAUUCAGAAGGACCCAGGUGUCCUUUUGGCUUAGUAGUACUGAAGAAGUGCUUGAAAAAAUGAAGUUGUUUUUUUUUUUGUUUGUUUCUUCCUCUAUUUUUCUGUUCAUUGCAUUUUAUCCUAGUAUUCUGGAAAAGGCAGGAGAAUCUGUGCCCUCAGUGUGAUUUUUUACCCUGGUAUCAUAAAGUACAUACAUGAAUUAAACCAGUUUAAAAAUAUCCUGUUAUCUGCAAUGACAAAUGUCUAUAUUUAACUCCCUAUCCUCUUUGUCUUAGUUACCAAAACCCAUCUUCACUACUGUCUUGCUGUAACAACACUUUAUAUGAAAUUCCAAUGACUUGCAUCUCAAUGGGGAGUUUUAAUUAGGGACAAAAGUUUUCCAUUUCUGUCUUUCUCACAAUAUUGUCAUACAAGUAGCAGAUAAAAGGUUUAAAUUUUAAUGUGUACUCCAGCAUACACCUUUGAUUUUUAUUCUAAGUACUAUUUGGCAGCCUGCCCUUAUUACUUGUGUUUUACUUUAUUACUAUACAUAAUUUUGAAAAACUGCUUUAAGAGUUGAUACAAAGUCUGGGUGAGAAUAAUCUAGGCAUUUGCUGUUAUAUAUCUUCCGUUAUUAUCUUGUUUCCAACAACUUUGCUCUAUUUGUCAGCUCUCUCACAUUCUAUGAUACCCAGGUUUUUGGAUUGCUUUUUAAUUUAGACAUCAGCUGUAAAUUAAAGCCUGCUACUUCUUACAUUGCUCACUCUGCAGACAUUACUAUCUUAACUUUGUAAAACUCCUCAGAGGAGGGAUCGCCAUAUUAUCUGGACAGUGUUUGGCACAGUGACUUUCUGACUCAUAAUCAGUUUGUCUAUUCUAGAAGAAAAAUUAGCUUAUCCAUAUUUUAUUAUGAGUGAUUUAAAUUUUGUUUUUAUUUGAUCAGGUAGAAACCAAGCAAAACACAGCCUUCCAGCUGUCCUGCGUCAACAGGGUGGCUCUGUUUGCCUGCACUGCAGCGUGACAAUGUGAUUUCAGAGGUCUCAUACAUCUUGGCUUACCCCAUGGAAGCCGCUUUAUCCUUUAGAAAUUAAUUGUUCCACCUCGAAUUUUAUCUGAGGGAAUAGCUGUUGAAACCUGUGGUACCACAGGUGUGGUGUUGUCAGUAGCUGUGCUACCCAGGUACAUCAGCAAAGGUUGAGGCCACACAUCUGGACAGCUGUUCCCUUGGUGCUUAUGUAUGUUUCAGCCUCUGACUUGCUUCCUGUGGGAAUCUUUGUCUCAGAGUGGGGCAGGGAUGGGAGCACGGUGGGGCACAGGGGGAGCCUGGUGCUGCACUGACUGUGCCACAGCGCUUCAGCAGUCAGCUGUGCCUGGCAGGUGGGGCUGUGUGGGCACUCAGCAUCCUCCUGCCCACAGCCUCUUCCCUCUGACUGGCAGUGUCUGAGCCAGGAAUGACUCAACUUUUCUGUAAGAUACCGACAGAAGUCUUGAGCGCUAUUAUUUAAAACUGUAGUAUUUCCAAGCUGAGCUAAGCGGAUGUGUAGCACAUGCCACAGAGCUUCGUCGUCUGUUUGAUGGAGUCGCUUUGCAGAACACUUUAUGUUUUACCACUGCUGCUGGAAAGGAAUGGAUUUUGAGAAUAGACAGAGGAACAACAAGAUUUAGGAAGGGUCCAGAAGCAAAGGAUCCCACAAGACUGGGGGCUCCCCAGGGCAGCAGGACAGGACCUGGCAGCCAAGCCUCAUCCCGUCACCCCAGCCAGGAACGGGGCAACUGUGGGGGACCAGGGCAGCCCCAGGGAUCAGGCACCUUCCAGGAAAGGGAAUGGGCUGUGCUGGGAUCUCAGCCCACAAGGGCUGUCAGGAUCAGGCAGGCUGUGUGGGGGCUGGGGUCAUACAUGGCCCAGGGUUGUUGUGCAGAGCUUCCCCAUGGCGGAGUCUGGGGGCCUCCAUGAGGCCAUGGACAGCAGAGGGGAUGUGCUCUGGGCCCCAUCAGAAGUGUAGAGUAGCUGAAUGCAACAUGGCAAUGGCAUGAGCCUAAUGACUCCUUCCUUCAGUUCUUAAAAUUGUCCAGAAUGUAACAUCUUUGCUGUUUAUGUAGUUUACAAGAUAUCACUACUUUUUUUAUUGGAAUUUGAGAUUGUUUAGGUCUUUUGGCACACUCAGAGAUUUGAAUGUCGUAGUCUACUUGCUUAUAUCAUAGAAUCACAGAAUGUUAAGGGGUAGGAAUGGCCCUUAAAGAUCAUCUAGUCCCAACCCUUGCUGCCACAGGCAGGGACACCUUCCAUUAGACCAAACUGCUCAAGGGUUUAUCUAACCUGCCUUCAACAUGGCCAGGGUUGCGGCAUCCGCAACCUCCCUGGGUAACCCCCUCCAGUGUCUCACCACCCUCACAAUAAUUUCUUCCUAAUAUCUACUCUAAAUUUCCUUUCUUUCAAUUUGUACCUAUUACUACUUAUUCCUAAUGAAGAGUUGCUCUCCAGCUUCUCUCUAGGCCCUGUUCAGGUAUUGGAAGGUUGCUAUAAGGUCUCCAUCCAAGCUUCUGUUCUUCCUUAUCCUUUAUGUCAAAUCUGGGUAUAACAGAGACGCCUUUACUGAAGAUCACUAUUGCAUAGGUGUAGCAGCUUGCCUUUGGAGAAACUCCUCAGGAUAUAGGAUACAGGAACAUUCUAAAUAAUUCUCUCAAAAAUCAUUUCUAGGAUAUCUGAUUUGGCUUGUCAUUCCUUUGUGUAUGACAGUCCCUCUUUUUUAACUAAGUUGAAUAUGAAGCUUGGUGGUUUUGUUAUUGUUUGGGUUGUUUUACCUCUACUUCUGUAAAUUAAUUUCAAACUUCCAUAAGUUUCUAAAAAUUAAGUUGAUCAGACUAUGAAGGCUGGUAGAAAGAUGACACUUUCCAUAAAAUAUCACAUCCUUACUAUUUAGUUCUUUUUCAAUUGCAAAUGCAAGAAAAUAAGUUAUGUUGGAUGAAAUGCUGUACUUAUUAUUAACAAAGAAGUAUAGUAGUUAUUGUUAUAUUUAAGUUCAGAAAAAUGUAGAUAGAUUAUUUGGUAAUUCUAUUAUUUAAAAUAAGCAUAUUAGUAUCCCUGCUACUUUGUAGGCACUCUCCAAGGUUGUGGAAGGAAAUAGGCAACCCCUCCCCCCCCAACCCAUGGCUAAUUAUUACAUGCUCAACUGUUGAUUUAUUCUGAAAUUGUGCCUUUGACUACUACUGUUAAAUGGUGACUGUAUGAUGGGGAAUAAAAUAGUGCUGAUAUCCAGAUUCCAUGUUACUGAGCUCUGUUCUAUUGGAAAAUUUUCUUUUUUUGUGUGGAUAGUUAUCUCUUCUGCAGAGGUUGGUGAUGAGAGUAGUGUUCUCAUCAUAGCUGUGACUGCAUGUUGAGUAAUAUGCCAGAAAACUUCUGACUUUUAUGAGUCAUCAAAUCUGAGUGGUGUGGUGAUCCUCUGGGCUGAUUUGGAGGGUGGAACAGGAAGAAUUUUAGAAUGUUUGUGAUCAUUCUUGAAAUGAUCCAGUAGCUUAUUUCUACUACAUCAAAUACAUCAUAUAAGUUGAGCAAAGAAAUGUUCUUACCCAUUAAAAGAGGCAGGCCAAAGCCAGAGGAGUCAGAGUCUGUAUGCUUUUUGAGGUUAAGUUUGGUUUUUGAGGAUAAUUGAGAAGGCGGAAGUUUCACCUAGAAAGAUUUUAAAGCUACUUUUCUUAUUUCUGAAGCAAAAUGCUUCCAAUCAGGUAAAGGUCAUCUAUCUCAGAGUUGCAGAGAAACUUCUAAAUGUUAAAAUGGAUACAGACUCCAAGAAAUGUUGUACUUUUUGAUAUUUCUGCAACUUUCAUGCUGCUAUCUGGUUUGUGGAAAGCCUCUGAUUGACACUUUCAGUUAUCAUGUAGUAUUUACAACCUCAAAACUUGAAUUUUCUUGUUUUCUAUUUUUAACUGCAGUAAGAACACUGACAAAAUAGCAGAGCAUGUGAGCUUUUUAAGGAUUAGAAAAGCAGUUAAGUCCUGUGUAUGAAGACAAAGUGUAUCAGUUUUAGAAAGCCAUCAAGGCUAUUCUCUGCUGAUGGACUUAGAUAGGAUAAGAUAGGUUCUGGUAAAGUUAGAAACUAUUUUAAAAAUGAUUUUUUGAGAGUAGUGCAGGCUGAGUUAGAGGCUGAGUUAGAUUACAAACUGAACGUGGUUAGGGACUGUUGAUGGUUUCUGAAAUUAAGUGGCUUGAGCUGACUGACAUCUAUUCAUCAAAAAUCUCAUUCUUACCUCCAAAAGAACAGAUGAUGAUGUCUGUGAGAAUGGUCCCUGGAGCAGGCUGUCCUGAGAACUAUGCCACAGAGAGUGCUAAUUUGCCACCUCAGAGUGAAGAGUAUUAGUUAAUUAACGUGUGUGAUCAGCAGUGUGGUGCCUGGGUUCACUGCCUGCUCCAUUCCACUGAGCAGUUUAGCCACACACAGGUAUCCUUGCUGGAAAGAGCAGCUUUCUCUGCAGGCUUCAGGCUUGCUAAUGGGCAUUGCUCAUUGAUUCAAAGGCAAGUUGUGAUUUGGUCUUGUUCAGUGGGUUUCUGCUUUCCUAGCCUUGCAUUAUAAAUUGAUGAAAGCCCUUCUGCUGGAGCACUGGCAGAACCUGGUGGCUGAAAUGGAAGGAAAAGACCAGCUUAUACCUUAUUCUCUUUCAUGCAGUCUUACUGCCAUUUUAUUAUGAAAUAAAGGCAACUUGUGCAACCUAGCCAAGUAAUCCAGUUUUGUGUGCACUGUAAAAAAUACCCUGGCACACAGUCACAAGUCUCGUUCUAUAGGAAUUUAAAGAAAAAAUUAUUUGAAUAUAUAUAUAUAUAUAUAUAUAUAUAUAUAUAUAAACAGUAGCUAAUCAAAUCCACAUCACCGAUCUUUUACUCUUGGGUGCAAUGGGUGAAUUAGAUUUGCAGCAGCCUGUAUUUGGUUUUAUGAGAACUAUAAUUCUUUAUUUCCCUACUGCACAGAAAGGACUAUUUUCCCAGAAGAGCUUAGAGAAAAAUACCAGAAAAAUAUGAAGCUGCAGUCCCAGACUUCAGCUUUUGUUCAGACUCUGACCCAGUUCCAUCUCCUGUGCUAUAGCAGUAGUUCCAGAAGGAUAUGACUUUUCUUGCCUCUGGGUGGUUUUCAGCAAAGGUUGUUCCUGAGCCAGGAAGAAGCAAAUGCUUACCUCUUGAGACUUAAUUAAUCAAUUCUUAUUACUUAGAUGGGUUCUGCAACCUGUAUUAUCAGUAUUUCUAAGUGGUGUUGGUUCUUUUUGACCAAUAAACCUAUUUACAUGUCAGUAAUUACUAUAUAAGGUGUUUUUUCAGAAACCUGCAACCAAGCAGGAGGUGCAGUGGCUCUUACAUCUGGAGGAUCAUCUCAUCUUUAUUAUUGCAAGCAUUCCAGGCAUCUUUCAGAUGUUGGUCACAGCAACAAGGAGUGAUGGGACCAAAUGCUAAGCCAUGUCUUUCUAAGUUUGGAAAGCAAAAGAAUCUCUGUGGUAGGCUGAUACAACUGCUUCUUCCUAAAUGAUUUGGAAUAGAUUGUGAAGUUUUUUGCAUUUGCAGAGCCUACCAUGUUAUUGAACAGCACCAAAGAAAAAUCUCCUGUAUCAUGAGGGGAGGGCAGGUAUUACAGAAAGCAUUCAAAAUGGUGAUCAAGAGAAAAAGCACUUCUGGAAGGGAAAGCACCUCUCUGGACCUGCAGGAGAGCUUACUAUAAGUGAAACAGAGCUAUCAAAAAGUGAAGCCACCAGACAAGUGAGAAGACAUUACAUACAACAGAGGCCAGGAGAAAGCUCAGCUGCAUAGCAACCUAGGUUUCAGAAGAACAGAAGAACAGAAGAAUGAGGCAACAUCUUCCUCCUUUUAUGCAAGGAAUCAUGAAGAUAGCCUGAAUUGCAAAAGCCCAGGAGAAUAAGAAAGGGGAAGAGAGUAAACAAAAAUAGGAUGUGAACACCUAUGACUUUCCAUAGAGUUUAUAUCCUCAGCAUAUCCAAACAGUACUGAAAAAAGGGGGAUCAAUAACAAAAAGAAAAUAAAAUACUGCAGAAAAAAGAUAGAGAGAAAAUAAUAGCCUAAGAUCACUUUUUUUUUUUUUUAAGAAAUGAAAACAUUUAGCCAAAUUGUUGGUGUCCCUGGUCAAGUGCAUUGUAUAUCAAACCUGAAGUAGUAGAGAAGCAGAAAACUUUUGUCCCAUGUAAAAUUGGUAGGACAAAGAAAAAAAAAAAAACAAAUGUGGAAAAAUAUUUUUUUAAAACAUUAAUAACAGUCUCUUUUUUCUGCAACAUGUGGUAUUUCAUGAGUAUCCUGCUUCUGCUUUUUGAGACUAAAAAGCUCUGAGAGGAAUCUGUACCCUCCAGAAGGCAAAUUCCUCCAAGGUCCUAUGAAACUUAGAAAUAAAAAUACAAGCAUCAAACGACUUCAUUCCUUCCUGCUGUCAUACAAACAUGGGUGUCUGUGUCUUAAGACAUUAAAAAUGCUGUAUUAUAUUUAUUUUUGCUUCUUAGAGAAUGAUACCCAGGUUUGUGUACACAGUGUGCUUUUUUGAUGACAUGCCAGUCUGAAGUGGCAUAUGCCUGCCUGUUGCCACACAUCCAGCUUGGUGUGGCUGGCCUUUAUUCAGAGAAUUAAAGUAGGUCUUCCAAGAUAUCCUGAACCUUCAAUUCUUGGUAACCUCAUUCUGCUAUGACUAUAGGAAAGAUAAGCACAGGUUCACUCUUUUUGUCUGAGUUAUGUCAGGACUGUUACAAAGCACCAAGGGGGAAUCACAGUUUUGCUGCUAGUGAGCAAAGAGUAGUGUUUCUCUGAAACCAUUUCUUUAUUUCUAUAGGCUUACUGCUCUUCCUAUUCUUCUUCUGUCUUCUAUUGGAGAAGGAAGAGGGAAUGAGAAGAAGAAACCUAUUGGCAGCUUUUCAUGUUAUUGUUUAUGUCCAUUGUUGAAUCAUGAUAAUGUAUUAUGGAGCAACCCUGAAUUUAUAGAAGUAAUUGGUUUUCACAUUUCACAACAACUAUCAUCAAUUUUCAUAAUUUAGUGCAUUAAUAAGUCAUCAUCUUUGGAAUGCAUUGCACCGUCCUCUCUGUCUCUCUUUACCUUUUCAUUCAAAAAGGUUUCACCUGUAUGAGAUACCUGAUACCAUAUCUCCUACUCUUCCUGCAUUACUGUAUCUCUCAGGCCAUCUUCAAAGGCAUCUACUUCAAAUGCAAACGUGAAUUUUAAAACUGAAGACAGUGUAGUAAAAAAUUACUCAAAUAAAUCUGCUUUAUUUUAUUUAGCUACUGAUUCAGCUGUUCCACUUUGCAACUGUUUGUGAUUUGUGGCCUUGAGGGUGAGGCAGUCUCCCCACAGUUUCUUGGUUAGAGAAAGAAACUGUUCAAAAGCCCUACUGUGGGCUAUUAUCCCCAAAGUUCAAGUUGAAAUCCUGACUUUCCAAACAACUUUCCUCUUUCCUGUGGAGCACAUCUUGAAUAGAUUUCUUUUGGGGGAAUUUGCAGCUCCUUCCCAAAGCACCAUCACAUUAGUAAUUUGUUAUUGAUUAGGGAAAUAUGAGCGUAUCUCCAAUCUGAAGCUUGCUUUUCUCACUCAGGUUGUUUUCUUUGUUUCUAGCAACAACACAGCAGUAGGAAAUUGUUUUAGUGGGGGUUAAGUGAGCUCUGCAGAUCAUUGUUUGACUGUUGAUCUACAGCCAUACUGUUGGGUUGAUGGGGCAUAUCCACUUAGUCUUAUGAUUUAAGGUUUCAUGCUAAAUUAAAAGUUUUAGGGGUUGUAAGUAAUUUUUAUGCACAGUACCAAAUUGAACAAACAAAAUUUUUAUUUUGCUAUUUCAUUAUCUGUUUGCAUAGAAGUGUGCAACCCUAUGUUUACCCAAAUAUAUUGAUUAUAGGCAAAUAAUCAAUCUCUUUGGGGUUUUUUGAUAAGAAAUUGCCAGAAAGCUAAAGUAAAAAUAUUCUUAGUAUAAACAUAUUGACAUAAAAUUAAUUUUCUUCUGUCAGUACUGUAAGUCAUCUAGCAUGCUUCCAGUAGUUGUAACAAUACUGAGCUCUUUCAGAAACAAGUGUAAUAAAAAUGAGAAAUUAAGUAAAAA